rnacentral:rRNA from 1 species
UUAAUUGAAGAGUUUGAUCAUGGCUCAGAUUGAACGCUGGCGGCAGGCCUAACACAUGCAAGUCGAGCGGCAGCACAGAGGAACUUGUUCCUUGGGUGGCGAGCGGCGGACGGGUGAGUAAUGCCUGGGAAAUUGCCCGGU